UGAGCAAACAUGUGGCCAUGAAACAGAUGGUCAUAGAAUUGGUUCAGUGGUUGUGAGUGCAGCAACCCAAGAGUGUCUUAUCUGAAAUACCACCAGGAAUGCCUGGACACAGUAGACAAAGGUUGUUCAACUGGACGCCUUAGGAUACAUGCUUCCAAAAACAAAGUAGCUGAAAAGAAACUAGAAUAACAGGAUAUCAGAGCCAGAGGAGCAUUUGGAGGAGUACGGGAAGGAUGAAAUUACUUUUGAUGGAGAGAGCAUUUAGUGUCUCAGAGAGAAGACAGGACAUCAUUCAUCACUUUCAUGAUGGGGCCGGCAGAUACCACCAUGGUGACGUUUGUGGCAGAAGAGGUGGAGCCAGGGACUGGGGAGAAGAAACGCAAACACAUGAUGGGUUAAAAACUGGUGAAAUCGAAUAGGUUUAAUCAGGACUGAGGAAGGUCAGUAACUGAAAUUCUUAACUUACUGUUGAGAAAAACGUGAUCACUCCCCACAGCACUUUAAGAUCCUUCACCACAAAAACAAGGUUCGAGGUGCCUGAGCUCAGAGCUGAAGGCACUGCCUGUAGCUCAGACUCUGACAAGAGUGAGGUAGAUUGUGGCCAGCAUGCCAGGUAACGGUCUGCAGUUGCAAUAACAGAAUUAGAAGGUGGGGGUGUCAUGGAAUCUUAGGAGCCCUGCAUUCCAAUUGCCCAGGCUUUGCUGAAACACAGGCACCCUGGUCUCACUUGAGGGUCACCACCAAUGGGGAUCAUUCCUUCAGCAUUCACUCUCAGUAUUCGUGUACCCUUGUGACAAUGCCACAGACCCAUCUCUUUCCCAAUACAUCUAAGCAUAUUCCUCACUGUUUAUCUCUUGUCUGUACAACAUCAUCAACCAGAAACAGUUUCCCAACAGGUUAUAUUUUCUUAAUGGUAGUCAUGAAGUCACCCCACCUGCUCUAAGUUAAAACAGAGCUUAAGCCUUUUCCACAGGUAUAAGAUAUCAAACUUUUAGCCUGCCCUGAUAUCCUCUGGGUCUUCUGCAGUUUUUUCUGUAUCCACUAGAAAGUGAAUGAAUAAUUCAUUUUUUAAAAAUGUUUUCUUUCCUGUCUCAGUAUUCUUCUUGCUGCAUCCCAUGGUUAUGUUGAUUUCUUUUUUC
rnacentral:lncRNA from 1 species